GAAUAUCUCGUACACUAAGCGUUUGCGGUACCUAUAACCCUAUAUAAUUUUUAAUCAGGAGGACUUCCUCUUUGUAACGGUAGCUUCUGAUCACGGCGCCAAAGAAAUCGGAAUUGUGCCAAAUGUUACUACAGCUCAAGAAAUAAGGAAUUUUUUUUCUUGAGCAUGUACUUGAGUGCUGGAAACUAACAUUUAUAUACAAAUAUCUCGAAAACUAUAGGUCUGAGAUUGAAAUAAUUGAAACCGUUUUCAAUACGUUUUCGAUGCAGCUGAAUUUACUUGCCGACUAGAUAAAAUACAUUCCGUGGCUAAUAGAUGGCGCUACUUUCGAAAUCAUUGAAUCACAAAAUCGAAAAUAUUUUUCGAAAUCUAUCCGCAUCUAUCGAGCAUUUCGGAAAUAAAUGCUUUUUGAGAAGACACUUUAGAAAACUUGAGCGCUCAAAUGUCAAAGACAAGACUGGAUCGAAAAAGGUAUAAAAAACAUUACGCAUUUAUAGUACUAGUUAAAAGGAAAAUGGUUGAAACUACAAAGCAAAUUUCUGGAACAGGAGGUGGGCCCUUCAACCAAGUAAAUUUAAGUUCCCUCGAAAAGGAGGUAAGUGCUAUACUUUCCUCUAAUACAUCAGUAGAGGGAUUGAAAGGUAUACAAAGUCUUGGAACAUCAACACACAUUUGAAAUGACAUCCCUGGUACAAGUAAGAAGACACCAAUCGACGACAUUUCUUCCCAGCCCCAAAUGCAAAAUGAAAUCAAAUUUGUCGUCUGACCAGCUGUACACCGCACAAGAAACAGAAAAUAAACAAAAUAGGUCUACUUGAGGAGAAAAUAAAUAUCCAAAAAAAUAUGCAGGACAAUGUAUCAAAAGUUCUAAACACGCUUAUGAAGCAACUAGCGAACAUGCACAAGAACAGUCUGAAACAAAAAGAUGGAUUAGAAAACUCUAUGAAAUUGCAAAAGAUAAAUUUAAGGAAAUGAAGCGACAUAAUGCUGUGAGGGAAAAAAUAUCCAUUGAUAAAUUAGAAACCAAAAAAAAAUUAGAACUUGAAUUAUUUUUUUAUUGUAACGUAACAAAGAUAUACAGACAUGUAGUAACAAUAUCAUAGUAAAGGUAUCAUAUUAUUCUGUAUACUGCGUUGGUGACCCACAUGACAAUGUAGUAAACUCAAAUACUAGCUUUGUUUCAUAGGCAUUAAAUAUUUCUAAAAAAUUUUAAACAAUAAAUAUGUUGUGUGUUAUGGAGAAAAUAAGUUCAAUUAUUUAAAAUACUCUAAAGUUAAUCUAUUUUCAAGGCAAAAAAGCGAUUUGGUUAAGUUUCUCUAGAAUCCUAACAUAAAAUGAGGCAUUUCCUGCUUUUCCGGAAGAAAAAUUGUGAAAAAUGUUUUGUUUUCCAUUUCUUUAAUUAAAUUUUUAAGCCAUUUUGACAGAAUAUUUCGAAGAUCUUUUGUGUAAAAGCUUUUAGCAAAGUUUGUUAUCUGUACUAGGGUAAACCUCCUACAACGCGUUUUCGCUCCAACGCAGUUCCCAAAUGCGGACAUUUUUUUACAACGCGAUUUUUACGAAAAAAUUUUCAAAUAUUUACUAAUUUAAUUUGAAAAAGGUUUUCUUGCCCAAAUAAAAUUCUUUGCAUUUUGUCCAUACUUUGAUUCCGUUGAAAUUGUUGAUGCGUCACUUAAAGUUAUUCGUCUUUCAACACUAAAAGCUUGCUGAAAAGCACUAUAACCGGAAAAAGACGUUCAGGGCACUGUUUCAACACCAAUAGAAGAUGAAUAUAGGAACAUAGUGAAAUUGGCGCAUGCAGUAGAAGGUGAUGGAUUUGAUAAAAUAACAAUGGCUGAUAUUCAAGAAUUAAUUGCGGACGACGAAAUAAACAACGCAGAUUUAGUGACAAUGACAAAUGAAGAAUCAGUUGGAGGUAGCUCUGGCGAUCUUUAGGAUGUUGAAAAUAAAAACUUUUUGCCAAAAAAUAUCGAGAAAGUUUCAAAUAUGGCAAAGCAGUUGGAAGAAUACAUUUUGGAGAACGACCCUUUAAGUGACAGAGCAGAAAUAUUUAAACGAAAUUUUCAAAACAAUUUAGCUCCCUAUCAAAAAAUUUAUAAAGAUUUGCGAAAUAAGAGCAAAAAAACUUUAAUGCACGAUUUUGUCAAAUCAAUAAUAGUCGAAAAUCUAAUUGUGGAUCAAGCUCAGAUUUUGAACUAGUACGAACAAAACGUUCGAAACAAAUCAUACUAAGUGAUGAGAAGGAGUAGAAAGUUAUCGUUCUAUUUUGGCUCUAAUUUAUUAAAUCUUUUAACUUGAAUAUUUUACGU